rnacentral:rRNA from 1 species
GGUCGAGCUACAAAGGGCUCACGGAGGAUACCUA